GGUGAAAAGCACCCCGGAAGGGGAGUGAAAUAGAACCUGAAACCGUGUGCUUACAAGUAGUCAGAGCCCGUUAAUGGGUGAUGGCGUGCCUUUUGUAGAAUGAACCGGCGAGUUACGAUUUGAUGCAAGGUUAAGCAGUAAAUGUGGAGCCGUAGCGAAAGCGAGUCUGAAUAGGGCGUUUAGUAUUUGGUCGUAGACCCGAAACCAGGUGAUCUACCCUUGGUCAGGUUGAAGUUCAGGUAACACUGAAUGGAGGACCGAACCGACUUACGUUGAAAAGUGAGCGGAUGAACUGAGGGUAGCGGAGAAAUUCCAAUCGAACCUGGAGAUAGCUGGUUCUCUCCGAAAUAGCUUUAGGGCUAGCCUCAAGUGAUGAUUAUUGGAGGUAGAGCACUGUUUGGACGAGGGGCCCCUCUCGGGUUACCGAAUUCAGACAAACUCCGAAUGCCAAUUAAUUUAACUUGGGAGUCAGAACAUGGGUGAUAAGGUCCGUGUUCGAAAGGGAAACAGCCCAGACCACCAGCUAAGGUCCCAAAAUAUAUGUUAAGUGGAAAAGGAUGUGGCGUUGCCCAGACAACUAGGAUGUUGGCUUAGAAGCAGCCAUCAUUUAAAGAGUGCGUAAUAGCUCACUAGUCGAGUGACACUGCGCCGAAAAUGUACCGGGGCUAAACAUAUUACCGAAGCUGUGGAUUGUCCUUUGGACAAUGGUAGGAGAGCGUUCUAAGGGCGUUGAAGCAUGAUCGUAAGGACAUGUGGAGCGCUUAGAAGUGAGAA
rnacentral:rRNA from 1 species